rnacentral:rRNA from 1 species
GAUGAACGCUGGCGGCGUGCUUAACACAUGCAAGUCGAACGAUGAAGCCCAGCUUGCUGGGUGGAUUAGUGGCGAACGGGUGAGUAACACGUGAGUAACCUGCCCUUAACUCUGGGAUAAGCCUGGGAAACUGGGUCUAAUACCGGAUAGGAGCGUCCACCGCAUGGGGGGUGUUGGAAAGAUUUAUCGGUUUUGGAUAGACUCGCGGCCUAUCAGCUUGUUGGUGAGGUAAUGGCUCACCAAGGCGACGACGGGUAGCCGGCCUGAGAGGGUGACCGGCCACACUGGGACUGAGACACGGCCCAGACUCCUACGGGAGGCAGCAGUGGGGAAUAUUGCACAAUGGGCGCAAGCCUGAUGCAGCGACGCCGCGUGAGGGAUGACGGCCUUCGGGUUGUAAACCUCUUUCAGUAGGGAAGAAGCGAAAGUGACGGUACCUGCAGAAGAAGCACCGGCUAACUACGUG